rnacentral:sRNA from 1 species
UUUUUUAUGAUAUAAUGAGUGAGUAGAAAAGUUAUGACGGUGGCGACUUCCGAAAGGGUGUGGUGCUUAUGAAUGUAAGUGCUGAAAUCUAUGAAAGGAGUAAGCCUUUUGUCUGCAUUAGAGACAAUUCAGCUCAUUCUAAGCUUUAGCAUGUUUGCUAUUGCUCUGAUUAAGCUAGUU